AUCGAAGAAGCUUUUUUUGGUGUUUAAGUUUCAAACUUUAGUAUGCUUAUGCUUGUAUCAAAUAAAGCUUUUGCUUUUAGCAAAAUAUUUCAUCUUUCCCGAAAUGAGGAAGAAAAUGUUGGAAUUAAAAUGUUGUGUCUAAACAAACGCCAACUUUGUGGAAAUACUACACCAAGGUUAAUGUAUCAAGUUUUAAGUAUGGUGAAUGUAAAAAAGGUCUAAUCCAAACCAAAUAAACUGUUUGAUCCAUUUGUCGUAUCGAGUAUUACGUGAAAAAUAAAAUAUCCCUCUGAAAACACUGAUAAGAGCCAGCGUUUAGUUCUAAAGAACUGAAAAGUUUAAAGAACCUACUAUCAAGCAGGAAAAUGCAUAUGAUGAACCAUGCUUCAAGGAAACGGUAGCAUUUAAAUCGCAAAAUGAGUGUAAAGCAUAUCACUGCGCUUUCAAGGUUCAAGUUGUCAUUUAAUAAAAAAGAAGUUAGCAGUUGUCAUCAGGGGGCUGUUAUCACUGAUGAUUAUAUAUCUAGGUCAGAGGAUCUUUUUGUAACUCUAACACUUCAUUAUUUCAACGACCAGUUUAUGAAGAAAUGAAGAAAUAUGUGAGUAACUUGGCAACUUUUUUGGGCAAACCCAUUGGAUACCACAUAGCAAGACAAGUUUUUUUAUAAAUUGUGUAAAAGUAAUUUAAUUUUCGUAAAAAUCAAAUUUCGUAUAAA